GGGCUCCUCUCCUCUAGAUGGGCUUUGGAACGUCUGAAACGCAUAAUCGACCUAAAAAUCGUACGAAGAUCCUGUGGGGUGUCCAGUGCCCCUUAAAGGGAAGAUCUGGAUCAAUCCACAGUGGUUCCCUUGCUCGCAGGUGGCGCUUCUUUUGCUGUCGCCAGGCGCAGUUGUCAGCAAGGAAGGAGAAACGCUCCCCACAUCCUAAAAUACUCCCUCGGGUUGACCCCUGUUUAGAAGUGCAAAGACUCAACACCCCCACCCUCGGAGAAGCACACCCAUGGGCACUUCUGUUUCUAGAAGGACCAGCGUCCUUCCCAAGGCUGGGCUUCCGCGAGGGUCUAGAGGUGAGGGUUUGAUAAAAGCAAUACGAUAGCCAGUUCUAGUGCAACCUCAACAGCUGUUAGUCCAGUUCUAGAAAGUGAGCUGUACCUGUAGUUGAAACCCAGCUGGGUUAACUAUCAAAUGACUGAGAGUUAAGGCGUGAGUUUUCACCGUGCACUAGGGGGACUGUAACUUCACAGCCUAGGAAUCGAGAGAAGUUGCAGAAGAGAAAUGCUACUGGAUUAUAAUCACGGCUGUAAGAAUCCAGCUAAGAAAAUGAAAUUUGUGGAUUUCUUAAAAACAUGCUAUUUUGAUAUAGAAGGUUUGGAUGAUCUGAUUUUUGUUCCAACUACCAUUCUUCAAAGAUUAUGCUAUAAUGGGCCUUUCUGACAUCUCUAUAGGUGUCUGCAUUGCCUUCAUGUGAACCUUAUUCUUUGAUCCAAAGCUGUAGUUCACAAUUGUUUAUUGCUGUUUCUCAAACUCAACGUCUUGUUCCAAAAGGAAAAAAAGCUGUGAAUUUCUCUGUGGAGGCCUUUAGAAGCCUCUCCUAAAAUGUUUACCAUGUGGGCAAAUAACUUGGCACUAACGUGUGGCCAUUUCACCACAGAAAUAUCUGCCCAUAGAAACAAUACAUCACAUUCUUUUGCGGUGUACCUGGAGUGGGAAGUAUCUGCUGUGACUUAUUUGUGUUAAACCAGAUUGUGAUGUGAGAAGAGAGAUCUGAGAGUGCUACACAAAUUAGGAAUUCUUGGGGAACUCUGCACAAGUUCCUCACAGACUCCACCAGCCAAAUAUUUAGAAGCCUGAAAUGUCGAAUCCAGAAGGGACCAGAGAAAGGCUACCUGGCCUGACUUUCCCGUUUUCCAAAGAAGAAAGCUAACUCCUGAGAAGUGAAAGGUAGGGGACUGAGCAGGCUUUAGGAUCACGUGACCCUGCUCUCCCCUUUGACUUUGGACCUCUGAAAAUACUGUAAUCAACAAAGAGCAAUUGCAAUAAGGAAAGCAGGAGGAUGUUAUCGUUCUCAGGGCCUCCCAGUGAUUGAGGACAAUCCUAAGAUGACUUUGCUUUGGACUUUGUUAUUUCACUUAAGGAUUGGCUGUGCAGAACUGUUCUCCCAGCUAGGCCUUAUCUAUACUGCUUAUUUAAAAUCUUUGGCCUUCAUCUAAGUUGCUGACACUGUUUUAUGUUAAGCCUUAUGGUUUCUUCACUUCUGUGUUCUUCAGGGUGACUCUAUUUCCUUUCCUCAGAAGAAUACAGAGAAGCUCAUUUUUUUGGAGUUGGGUAACAAAGGAAUGUAGCUACACAAUUAACAGUUUGUAUAAAAUUCUGAAGCGGCUUUUAGAGUAUGGUAAAGUGCUAAUAAAUAAUAAUCAUAAACA